UUUGACCCAAACUGUUUGUCUAAAUGAUCCCAAACUUCAGCUCAUUAUCUUCAGACACAGAGAAAUGAUUUCAUGAUGAAUGAUGAUCAUUGUUGGAGGUUUUGGUCACUGUGUUGAAUUUAACAGAGUCAAGUGUCAUCACCGUGUUUCCUGCAGCACUUUGCACAUAAUACUAUAAAUAUAAGGAGGAAGCCUGAGGCCCUGCAGCAGACUCACAGACGGAUGCAGAGGGGAGGAGUGUCGAGGUGUGUGCUGUGUGUUUGGAGGAGGGACUCCUUCAGUUAGAGAAGUGAGGCGUCACAAGUUCCUGGUUUCCAGUGAAGAAGAAGAGAGGCAGCAGUAAACCAUCAGAGCCUCAUCAUGAAAGUCCAUCACACUCUGAUCUGCUUCUUCUUCCUUUUUCACUCCCACAGUGCAUAUAGAUUUGACAAAAUGACAUCACUUCCUGCAGACAAAUAUAAACCUCUCUGCAGGAUGGAAACCCUGAAGUCACCAAUGCUCAGAUUCUUCACUAUGGAGUCAUUGGAGGAGAUUUUAAAGCUGGAUUCACCUUUAAUUCUCCAGGAACAUGGAAGAUGUUCUGCAGAGAACAAUGUGAAGGAGAAAACAUUCUUAUUAAAACAACUGAUGUCAGAGCUCAAACAGGCAGAUACAGCAUUGAAUAUGAAAACAAUGUUUUAUCUGUGAGCAUCUCAAAGCUGACUGAGUCUGACUCUGGACAGUACAGCUGUGGUUUGGGUGGAUCUCCAUCAUCAGCUCCAUUCACACCGUUUGUGAUCGUUGUUGCUGAAGCACUGCUGGAUGGAAACGAUGAUCCUGCUCAGCUGAAACACUUCGAUAAAGAAACUGGAAGCUCUCUCACAGUCGCAUGUUCCUUUAAACAAGCUGGAUACAGAAAGUUGUUCUGCAGAGGAGAAUGUGGAGGAGAGAAGAUUCUUGUUCAUACAGAUGAUGUUAGUGCUCAGAGAGACAGAUACAACAUUGGAUAUGAGUCAGGAGUUCUGUGUGUGAGCAUCACACAGCUGACCAAGUCUGACUCAGGACGGUACAGAUGUUUACUGAUUGGAUCUUCCAGCAGCUCAUCCAGAGAGUUUGAGGUCACUGUCACAGAUGCAGCUGGACCAUCAGCCACAACUACAGGAAGCUCCACACCUUCAUUAACUUGGACUGGAAGCACUGAGCAGCCUGAAGGAGCAGCAUCAGGUACAUCCAUCUCUGUGCUGCUGUAUGUGAUCAUCUCUCUGCUCAUCAUCAUCAUCCUCUCAUCACUGGCUGUUCUAAUAAUCUGCAUUAAGAGGAAGAGCAACAGAGGUUUGAGGACCAGAGGAAACUCAGAGGGCACAAACAUGGAGGACGUCCACUACGAGAACUGUACUCCAGGUUCUACACGUGAAGACUCGACCUACCAGAGCCUCCAUCCAGCCGCCAGGGACCAGGACCAGACCUACUCCACACUCACACACCACACAUGAGACUCUCUGGAUUCACACCAGGGUUUAUUUCAGUGCAUCAGGUUUAAAGUUUGAACACAGACCCUGAAAACUGUAAAUAUUAACUCGCUUUUGGAGUCAGCUUCAAGUGGCCGUUAGAGGAACUGCAGCUGUUGGAACGUCUGCAGGAGGAACCAGCCCCACCAGCCUCCAUCAUCCUACAUGAGUGGAGACUGAAGUCUUUCUGCUGCAGUGUGUCAUCCAUUUGGCUGAGAAGGUGUUUGCAGUCUCCCUUCUCUCCAACACCUGGACACCUCCAGGACCCUGAGAGUGACCCCUCCCACCCUGGACAGACACUUUCUGAGUCGCUCCCCUCUGUAUCAUGAAACGGCCAAUAUAUGUGAUUAAAAACAACAAAAAACAUUAACUCUCCUGGUCAGUCUGUUUUUUCUACAUUUAGAAAAAUGAUUAAAUGUUAUGAAUUUCAUAUUUUACUAAUCCUUAAAGAGAGACAAUCGUAGCUUUGGAUUCUUUUAUUUUAUUUUAGUGUUUUAAGUUCAUCAAUUGCAGUAAAUGUUAAUUUUGAAUCAAUGAUGAAUCUACAUCAGACAUAACUGAAGUUAAUCAGCUGGUUAGCUGCACAGAGCUAACAGCAAACCAUAUAAAACCUUAGCAUACGUAGCACGCAGCAGCUACAAGGAUGGUGUGUGAUAUGGUUACAAGAAUAUUUAGAUUUACACAAAAUGAAAUCAGCAGCUUCACUAUUUCAGAUGUCAGUAUUACAGAAACAUGUUCAGUGAAUCUCGUUCCAUCCAGCUCACACAUGUGUUGUCGAUGUAUUUGUGCUGUGUGAGUAGUGGGAGUCGCUACGUAGCGCACGUC